rnacentral:lncRNA from 1 species
CACCUGGUGAGAGCAUUGAGGUGUUCGCCUAAUACCAAAUCAGGACAUUAGUUUUGAUGGAAGGUAAGCUGCUGACUCCAAUUUUUCUUUGUAAUCUGCACAAGUUCAUAUGAUUUUCAGCUACUAAAAGUUGUGACUUUCUCACCCAAUCUUUGAUCUCAGAUGGUGGUAUUAGUCUCUUGAGACUCAACCCAUCGGGAUCUAGAAAGGGAAAGAAAUCAUGAUUGAUAGUAGCAAAACACAAUUUUCUCAGCUUAUGGUCGGAAUUAAGGGUCUCAUGGCAUACUUACAUAAGCUACAUCAAGGAUACAUUUAUAAGUUUGAGAAAUAGAGAGGAUGAUACAUAUGAAACGAAAAGUUGGAUACAAUACUUGGUCUAACUUGGCAAUAAAUCAGAUCUCUGAGAAUUGGGGGCUGACAUGAUAUUGCAGUGCUUUGCUGUACCUCAAAUACCAGAAGUAAUAAUCUUGAAGAAUUCCGAGAGCUCACACCUCCAAUGGGGUUCCAUUUGGAUGUGCUGAGGUUGGAAGGAACCAACAAGGAGAGCACAGAUCUGGUGGAACAUUACCAGACAUUU